rnacentral:rRNA from 1 species
GACGAACGCUGGCGGCAUGCCUAAUACAUGCAAGUCGAGCGAACAGAUGAAGUGCUUGCACUUCUGACGUUAGCGGCGAACGGGUGAGUAACACGUAAGGAAUCUACCUAUAAGCGGGGGAUAACAUUCGGAAACGGGUGCUAAUACCGCAUAAUAUCUUCUUCCGCAUGGAAGAAGAUUGAAAGACGGCUCUGCAGUCACUUAUAGAUGACCUUGCGGUGCAUUAGUUAGUUGGUGGGGUAACGGCCUACCAAGACGAUGAUGCAUAGCCGAGCUGAGAGGGUGAUCGUCGAAAUUGCGACUGAGACACGGCCCGAACUCCUACGGGAUGCAGCAGUAGGGAAUCUUCCGCAAUGGGCGAAAGCCUGAAGGAGCAAUGCCGCGUGAGUGAAAAAGGCCUUCGGGUCGUAAAACUCUGUUAUAAGAGAAGAACAAAUUGUAGAGUAACUGCUACAGUCUUGACGGUAUCUUAUCAGAAAGCCACGGCUAACUACGUGCCAGCCGCCGCAGUAA